GACGAACCGUGCGAACGUUGUUCGGAAUCACUGGGCUUAAAGGGCGCGUAGGCGGGUUCGCAAGUCUGUGGUGAAAGCCUCCAGCUUAACUGGAGAACUGCCAUGGAUACUGGGUGUCUCGAGGAACGUAGGGGUAUGCGGAACGAUUGGUGGAGCGGUGAAAUGCGUUGAUAUCAAUCGGAACUCCGGUGGCGAAGGCGGCAUACUGGACGUUUUCUGACGCUGAGGCGCGAAAGCCAGGGGAGCAAACGGG
rnacentral:rRNA from 1 species